rnacentral:rRNA from 1 species
UACGUAGGGGGCGAGCGUUGUCCGAAGUUACUGGGCGUAAAGCGCGCGUAGGCGGUUUCUUAAGUCUGGGGUGAAAGGUUCAGCGCUCAACGCGAGCAGUGCCUUGGAUACUGGGAGACUUGAGUCUGGGAGGGGGCAGUGGAAUUCCUGGUGUAGCGGUGAAAUGCGUAGAUAUCAGGAGGAACACCGGUGGCGAAGGCGGCUGCCUGGCCUAAGACUGACGCUGAGGUGCGAAAGCGUGGGGAGCGAACGGG